rnacentral:rRNA from 1 species
UACGGAGGGUGCGAACGUUGUUCGGAAUCAUUGGGCGUAAAGGGCACGCAGGCGGUUUGCCAGGUCGGAUGUGAAAUUUCGGGGCUCAACCCCGGCAUUGCGUUCGAAACCGGUAAGCUGGAGUCCCGGAGGGAAGGGUGGAAUUCCUGGUGUAGGGGUGAAAUCCGUAGAGAUCAGGAGGAACACCGGAGGCGAAGGCGACCCUUUGGCCGGAGACUGACGCUGAGGUGCGAAAGCGUGGGGAGCAAACAGG